rnacentral:lncRNA from 1 species
CAGGACUGAGCGACUUUCACUUUUUUUUUCUCUUUAACUAAAAAGGAUUAUCCUUGGUUUUUAUUUUUUUUCCAAAUCUUGGUUCUGACUCUACAUACAUGAGAAGAGAAAGUAAUCUGAGGAAAAAUAGUUGCUUUUCUCUUCCAGUAGAGUUCCAUGGUUGUGAACAGUCUCAAGCCCAAUCUCUGGCCUUAUUCCUAUGUUCUCAAGUCCUGGUUGUCUCCACAGAGUCCAUUUUCUAUGAUAUGCUGAAGUCAGUCAAUUGCACUUUUUCCCUUGCCAGAAGUCACACAUUAACAACCGCAAUAAGAAAAAAAGCAGGAUCACCUACCAUAUCCUUGGGAUUAAAAAAAAAGAAGAAAUAGCA